AUUGAACGCUGGCGGCAUGCCUUACACAUGCAAGUCGAACGGUAACAGGCUGCGAGGUGCUGAUGACUGGUGCACGGGUGAGUACUGGAGCGGAACGCGCCCAAACGUCGGGGAUAAUUACUCGAAAGGGUAGCUAAUACCGCAUACGAUCUAUGGCUGAAAGCGGGUGACCGUAAGGCCUCGUGGGAUCUGACCCGACGAUGUCAGCUUAGGUAGUUGUUGGGGUAAAGGGCCACCAAGCCGACGCUCUGUAGCUGGUCUGAGAGGACGACCAGCCACACUGGAACUGAGACACGGCCCAGACUCCUACGGGAGGCAGCAGUGGGGAAUUUUGGACAAUGGGCGCAAGCCUGAUCCAGCAAUGCCGCGUGCAUGAAGAAGGCCUUCGGGUUGUAAACUGCUUUUGUGCGGAACGAAACGCCUCUGGUUAAUACCCCGGGCUUCUGACGGUACCGUAAGAAUAAGCACCGGCUAACUACGUG
rnacentral:rRNA from 1 species